rnacentral:rRNA from 1 species
UACAGAGGUCUCAAGCGUUGUUCGGAAUCACUGGGCGUAAAGGGUGCGUAGGCGGCGCGGAAAGUCAGGGGUGAAAUCCCGGGGCUCAACCCCGGAACUGCCUUUGAUACUCCCGUGCUUGAGUGCUGGAGAGGAGUCCGGAAUUCACGGUGGAGCAGUGAAAUGCGUGGAUAUCGUGAGGAACACUAGCGGCGAAGGCGGGACUCUGGACAGUCACUGACGCUGAGGCACGAAGGCCAGGGGAGCAAACGGG